rnacentral:rRNA from 1 species
GGGUUGUGAGGUUAAGCGACUAAGCGUACACGGUGGAUGCCCUGGCAGUCAGAGGCGAUGAAGGACGUGCUAAUCUGCGAUAAGCGCCGGUAAGGUGAUAUGAACCGUUAUAACCGGCGAUUUCCGAAUGGGGAAACCCAGUGUGAUUCGUCACACUAUCAUUAACUGAAUCCAUAGGUUAAUGAGGCGAACCGGGGGAACUGAAACAUCUAAGUACCCCGAGGAAAAGAAAUCAACCGAGAUUCCCCCAGUAGCGGCGAGCGAACGGGGAGGAGCCCAGAGCCUGAAUCAGCAUGUGUGUUAGUGGAAGCGUCUGGAAAGGCGCGCGAUACAGGGUGACAGCCCCGUACACAAAAGCGCAUGUGCUGUGAGCUCGAUGAGUAGGGCGGGACACGUGGUAUCCUGUCUGAAUAUGGGGGGACCAUCCUCCAAGGCUAAAUACUCCUGACUGACCGAUAGUGAACCAGUACCGUGAGGGAAAGGCGAAAAGAACCCCGGCGAGGGGAGUGAAAAAGAACCUGAAACCGUGUACGUACAAGCAGUGGGAGCACCCUUUGGGGUGUGACUGCGUACCUUUUGUAUAAUGGGUCAGCGACUUAUAUUCUGUAGCAAGGUUAACCGUAUAGGGGAGCCGUAGGGAAACCGAGUCUUAACCGGGCGUUAAGUUGCAGGGUAUAGACCCGAAACCCGGUGAUCUAGCCAUGGGCAGGUUGAAGGUUGGGUAACACUAACUGGAGGACCGAACCGACUAAUGUUGAAAAAUUAGCGGAUGACCUGUGGCUGGGGGUGAAAGGCCAAUCAAACCGGGAGAUAGCUGGUUCUCCCCGAAAGCUAUUUAGGUAGCGCCUCGUGAACUCAUCUCCGGGGGUAGAGCACUGUUUCGGCUAGGGGGCCAUCCCGGCUUACCAACCCGAUGCAAACUGCGAAUACCGGAGAAUGUUAUCACGGGAGACACACGGCGGGUGCUAACGUCCGUCGUGAAGAGGGAAACAACCCAGACCGCCAGCUAAGGUCCCAAAGUCAUGGUUAAGUGGGAAACGAUGUGGGAAGGCCCAGACAGCCAGGAUGUUGGCUUAGAAGCAGCCAUCAUUUAAAGAAAGCGUAAUAGCUCACUGGUCGAGUCGGCCUGCGCGGAAGAUGUAACGGGGCUAAACCAUGCACCGAAGCUGCGGCAGCGAACGUAUCACUUAAAGCGAUUCAGCGGGUUACGAUUGACGGAGCGAAGCGACGUCAAAGCGUAUACAAAGUCGAGUCGGUUUAAGGAUACGUUCGUUGGGUAGGGGAGCGUUCUGUAAGCCUGCGAAGGUGGCCUGUGAGGGUUGCUGGAGGUAUCAGAAGUGCGAAUGCUGACAUAAGUAACGAUAAAGCGGGUGAAAAGCCCGCUCGCCGGAAGACCAAGGGUUCCUGUCCAACGUUAAUCGGGGCAGGGUGAGUCGACCCCUAAGGCGAGGCCGAAAGGCGUAGUCGAUGGGAAACGGGUUAAUAUUCCCGUACUUGGUGUUACUGCGAAGGGGGGACGGAGAAGGCUAUGUUGGCCGGGCGACGGUUGUCCCGGUUUAAGCGUGUAGGUGUGUGUUCCAGGUAAAUCCGGUUCACUUUAACACUGAGGCGUGACGACGAGGCACUACGGUGCUGAAGCAACAAAUGCCCUGCUUCCAGGAAAAGCCUCUAAGCAUCAGGUAACACGAAAUCGUACCCCAAACCGACACAGGUGGUCAGGUAGAGAAUACCAAGGCGCUUGAGAGAACUCGGGUGAAGGAACUAGGCAAAAUGGUGCCGUAACUUCGGGAGAAGGCACGCUGACACGUAGGUGAAGUGAUUUACUCAUGGAGCUGAAGUCAGUCGAAGAUACCAGCUGGCUGCAACUGUUUAUUAAAAACACAGCACUGUGCAAACACGAAAGUGGACGUAUACGGUGUGACGCCUGCCCGGUGCCGGAAGGUUAAUUGAUGGGGUCAGCGCAAGCGAAGCUCCUGAUCGAAGCCCCGGUAAACGGCGGCCGUAACUAUAACGGUCCUAAGGUAGCGAAAUUCCUUGUCGGGUAAGUUCCGACCUGCACGAAUGGCGUAAUGAUGGCGGGCUGUCUCCACCCGAGACUCAGUGAAAUUGAACUCGCUGUGAAGAUGCAGUGUACCCGCGGCAAGACGGAAAGACCCCGUGAACCUUUACUAUAGCUUGACACUGAACAUUGAGCCUUGAUGUGUAGGAUAGGUGGGAGGCUUUGAAGCGUGGACGCCAGUCUGCGUGGAGCCGACCUUGAAAUACCACCCUUUAAUGUUUGAUGUUCUAACGUGGACCCGUAAUCCGGGUUGCGGACAGUGUCUGGUGGGUAGUUUGACUGGGGCGGUCUCCUCCUAAAGAGUAACGGAGGAGCACGAAGGUUGGCUAAUCCUGGUCGGACAUCAGGAGGUUAGUGCAAUGGCAUAAGCCAGCUUGACUGCGAGCGUGACGGCGCGAGCAGGUGCGAAAGCAGGUCAUAGUGAUCCGGUGGUUCUGAAUGGAAGGGCCAUCGCUCAACGGAUAAAAGGUACUCCGGGGAUAACAGGCUGAUACCGCCCAAGAGUUCAUAUCGACGGCGGUGUUUGGCACCUCGAUGUCGGCUCAUCACAUCCUGGGGCUGAAGUAGGUCCCAAGGGUAUGGCUGUUCGCCAUUUAAAGUGGUACGCGAGCUGGGUUUAGAACGUCGUGAGACAGUUCGGUCCCUAUCUGCCGUGGGCGCUGGAGAACUGAGGGGGGCUGCUCCUAGUACGAGAGGACCGGAGUGGACGCAUCACUGGUGUUCGGGUUGUCAUGCCAAUGGCACUGCCCGGUAGCUAAAUGCGGAAGAGAUAAGUGCUGAAAGCAUCUAAGCACGAAACUUGCCCCGAGAUGAGUUCUCCCUGAGACUUAGAGUCUCCUGAAGGAACGUUGAAGACGACGACGUUGAUAGGCCGGGUGUGUAAGCGCAGCGAUGCGUUGAGCUAACCGGUACUAAUGAACCGUGAGGCUUAACCUUACAACGCCGAAGCUGUU